CCGGCGCUGCUCCCGCAUCCACCGCGGGGCCGCCGCUCCUCCGUCCCGCGCUGUGCCGGCGGGCGGGGAAGGGAGCGCGGGCGGGGAAGGCAGCGCGGAGCCGCCACCUCCGCCUCCCUCAGCCCCUUCCCGCUGUCACCGCCCGCCCGCCCCACGCUGCCCGGGCCCGCAGCGCCCCCUCCUGUCCCGCGCCGCUCGGCCGCCGCCGCCGCCAUUUUGUCCCCCCUCGGAGCGGCGGGGCCGGGGCGCCAUGCAGGGGCCGCCCGUCCUCGGAGCCGAGCUUGGAAGACGGCACUUGGGGAUAUCAUCCCUUCCCAAGGGGCUGCUCCGCAGAUAGUAACUGCAGUCCGUGGGAUUGUUGCACUUGCGGGGAAAACGCUUUUCACAGAAUCACGGAAUCACUGAGGUUGGAAAAGCCCUCCAGGAUCGAGUCCAGCCUGCGCUCGAUCCCCACCGUGACGCCCAGCCCAGGGCACUGAGUGCCACGUCCAGUCGUUCCUUGGACACCUCCAGGGAUGGGGACUCCACCACCUCCCUGGGCAGCCCCAGGGAUACUUAACGACCCUUUCCAUGAAGAAAUUCUCCUAGUGUCCAACAAAUCUAAACUUUUCCAGGCAGAGUCCAUCCAGUUUUGUUCCAUCCUGGAAGGGGCAUCACUCACUGCCCAGAUACAGCCAUGGCUAUGGGGAGGGCAGAUGAUCAGUCUUACAUGAUUUAAGUUUAUCCCACUGAGAUCUAUGGAUGUGUUCUACUUUUUAGAGUCUUCCCAUUGAAACAGGCAAAGAAACUGAGAGCCAGCGGUGCGGAAAAAUGAUUUCUCCACUGUUCUUCAUACAUGAGUUGAUAGUUAAAAGCUUCUAAUUUUCCCCUCGCAACAUUUCAGAUUUACUGGAUAUCUCCUAUUUUUACAGUCAGUCAGGAACUCAUAAGUCUAGGGACACCUUCCACUAUGCCAGGUUGCUCCAAGCCCUGCCCAACUUUGCCUUGGACACUUCCAGGGAUGAGGCAGCCACAGCUUCUCUGGGCAACCUGUGCCAGGGCCUCAUCACCCUCACCCAAUAUCCCAUCUAACCCUGCCCUCUGGCAGUGGGAAGCCAUUCCCCCUUGUCCUGUCCCUGCAGGCCCUUGUCCAAAGUCCCUCUCCAGCUCUCUUGGAGCCCCUUUAGGCACUGGAAGAGGCUCCAAGGUCUCCCUGGAGCCUUCUCUUCUCAGGUGAACACCCUCAGCUCUCCCAGCCUGUCUCCAGAGCAGAGGUGGAAUUUUGGCUAAGUGAAAUCAAUAUUGAAUAGACUGAUUUCUCCUAACCCUUCCUGAAAAAGAGACAGGGCACUGCCAAAGCUCAUUGAAGCUCCAGGAGUGAUAACUACUUUCCAUUCAGGAGAAUGAUCACAUUCCCGGGAUGCUUAGAUUAGGUUUAAGAUUUCAAAAGUCAGCAACUGUUUAAUAAAAAGCUCAUAAGCAGAGUGGAAACAAGGACAAGAUUAAAGGAAUUUCCUUCUCACUUCCUGAUAGAUCAGAUCCCUUAGGCUUGCCUUGUGCCAUAUGAAUCUUGUAUUUCUUGUCAGACACUAAUAGAGUUUCAAGAGGAGGAAGAAACCCAGAUAAGCAUCUGGCUGCAUGUUGGUGAUGGAGAUUGAGAUCUGGAACUACCUUCUCCUCGCACAUACACAUAUUCCUCCUCACACCAGGGAGGGCAAGGACGAGAGAUUAUCCACUUCCUUGUGAAAGCUCACCAAUACACAGACAUGAACUAAAUGGAAGAGGUAAGCCAAACUGGAUACUGUUCUAGGAUCUGAUAUGACACAUGGAAGGAACUAUCAGCUGCUGGUGCCUGUGUUUCUGCCAAUUUAGGUCCUUAAACCACUACUCCCAACUGAGGUGAACAAGGCAGGCCUGGGUCCAGCCAAGAGUCUGGAUCAUCAGGCAAGGUCUGACAUCACGCUGAGAAGUCAGCUACAGGUCAGGGCCCACUCCUCACAAUCCAUUCCAGCAGGUCUGCAGGGAUAAGGCAGGUCUGAGGUCAAGCAGGGAAGCCCAUCCACACCUCAGUGUCCAGCCCAGUAGGGUCCAUAGCCAGGCACAGGGAUGAGGGAGUGACAGACUUCCCCUCCUAGGCAGGAGCUAAGGGGGGUCAGAGCUGAGCUUAAAGAGAGCCUCUGGGCAAGGGUGGGGUUGGAGGCCCCAGCUGAGGGUGGUCAGUCAUUAAGAGCAAUGAGAGCCCUCAGGGUCCUGACACUUAUCAUGUAGACAGGGAAUACCGGAGCUGGUGCCAGUGGGAAGGUCAGGCCGUGCAGCUGGGGUUGGAUUGCUGCAGCACCAGCCCAGGCUUGCCUGCCCUGACCCUCUGAAGUGACAUUUCACGUUACUUCUGACUGAUCUAACAGCAAGGAAAAAUCUCUUUUGUUUCCUGUAUGUUCACCCAGGCAAGGCCAUUCAACUAAACCUGUGAUGAGAGAAAAUAGGAGCGAUGUUCCUCCAGAUGAGCCAGCUGGGUCAGUUCCCCACAGCUGCUGGAGUGCUGGAGCCAGCAAAGAUUUCUUGAUUCCAGCAUUUGAAGCCAUAUCAGUCAUCCUUCGCCCACUUGAAAUUCAACUGGAAUUACACCAGUGUGUCCAGGGUUCCAGAGUGCAACCUGAAGUGAGGUCUGAACUUCCCAUGGAUUACUAGAAUCUGUGCAUCCAUGAAAAGACCAUGUGUAAAUCUGAUUUCACUGUAGAUAUUUAAAUUAUAAGAUGGAGAACAAUUGCUGUUACUUUUAAAAGAUGGAAGAUUUAGACAUAUCUUACACUCAGUUCCUUAGAAAAGGGAUUCUCUCUAACUUAGGUGAGGACUUUUCCACUGGAUGUGUUUUUCAUUUUCUAGUGGAAUUUCAGGAGUAAGUGCAAUACAAAUAAUAACAUGUUUCUUUAAAAUGAACAGGAGAUAUGAACAUAAAUCUGAAUUCCCUAAAAGAAAUUAGCCACGGCAUAGAGAACAGGCACAUACAAGACAGACAUGCCUUGUGCUGUGUGAUAGGUGUCCUGUAAAAGUCAGCUUAAGAAAUACAGAUAUUGGCCAAUGUGCAUGUGAAAAAUUUUGCACUAUCCUGUAGCAAAAAAAGGAUCAUUUUCCUUUUGUUUACAGGUCCAUGAAAAAUGGUUGAUAUGACAGGACACCAUUAACAAUUAAGGCUGGUUUCAGUGUUUGUGUUUGCAGCAGGACUAAGAAAAGACACCAAGGACAGGGAGAUAAUGGAUGGUGCUCGGUGGGAUGGUUUAGUUGAGUUAAAUCCAGUGCUGGUCCGUGGCUUUCCCUGCUGGAAUCAGGCAGGUCAUCGUGGAGUGGCCCAAGGUAUGUCCAUAGGUAGUGGGAUACACAUCCCCUGCCAGGGGCAGCAGGUUAGAGCAGUGCAUUUGUGCCAGUCUUUGCAACAGCUCCGUCUCUUUCUCAGGCUGCAUUUUUCCUUUGCCUUAAGAGGAAAGCAAAGGAUCAGGGAGCCUUAGGGAACAUGGCAGAGAGCACUGCUGAAGGAAGGAAUGACACAGGGAGCACCAGGAGGUGCAGGUCAGCCUUGUUCAGAUCAUCUACUUCAGUCUGUGGUCUGGGAGUACUUUGAAAAUUGGCAGGAGAGUAUGGAAAAUAUAAAAGGAAAGCCUUGAAACAGACCACAAUUCUUUCAUAUGUGUAUUACACUGGAAUUAUUUUUAUAUAUGUAUGUAUAUGUAUAUACACUGGGAGGACUCUGUUCUUUACAUCCUUAAAUUACAGACCUUCAUAACACGUAAUGUCACCCUUCUGGAAAAAUGAGGGUGAUAGAAUGGGACACAAACACCAGCAACUACUUAAUAGCACAUACAAAUAUUGGCACGCUUGUUAUGCCUUAUUUUUGUUGUUGUUAUUACUUUAUUUUUGGAACUGUGUGUUGGCACUCCAGCAUUUCCCUACAUUUGAGCUCCACUGUGCACUUUGAAGGCCUUAAUUUAACGAGCAGACGUGGUGCAGUCAGAGGGAGAAGUGUGUAAGUCACACAGUGUGGGUAUUUACACUUCACAUGCUGAGCUUUGUAGUCAUCCUUUGGGAGGAAAGAGUUACAGUUAUUUUAUCUCUGUCUUUCUCAUUAGCUCCAGAGGGAAGCCUUGGAAAGAAGGCAAUGGAUUUACAGCUCAGUUUGGGUUGGUUGUCCUUUUGCAGAACGUCUCAGGUAAUUUCAGGUGAAACUCCUCCUUAACUUCAAAGUUCCUCACGCAGAGUUUGUUUGCUUUUUCCAAAAGGAAUCAACUAACCCAAUCCUCAAAAAACCCGACUCAGGGAGGAGGCUAUUAAGGCAAUAGUUUAGAAAACUGAACAAUAGUCCACUCAGUAAUCCAUGAUCACACCACCUGCAGGCAGCCCCGGCCCAAGUGGGAGUAAAUAGUCCUGCAGGGAAGGGCUAAGGCACCGUCAGGAUGAACAUGGGAGAUUUCACCACCCUCCUAAAUGUUCUCAUCUUUGUGGCCAGGCACGUGAAGCAGUAAAACCCUUCAGUUGUUAGAGGAAGGAGAACAUCAAGUUUUGCAGGAGAACAACAGAUCCAAGAUUGGUGCUUUAACAGGUUCACAAGGUGGCCUCUGCAUCUGCCUUUACAGUGUAUUUACUUACCAGUCUACCCAGGGAUUUUGUGAAGGAUUUGGCAUCUUAAACAGCUUUUUAUUCCAACAACAUUUCAAUUCACCCUUAAGACUCUCAGUUAAGACAAACUGAACCGGGGAUCCCUGGGUGGAAUUUGCAUGGAAGUUAUGGGGUUUGGGUAUGGGGUUUAUAGCCUGAUAUUGUACUAUCUCCCAUCUCGUAUUUUCCACUCAUUUUGCAUGUAAAACUUUUACUGCUAUCAGCAUGAGUUUAGGGGGCCACUAAAACUGAGACUAUGCCCCCAGGACCCAACAUGAUGUAAGGGACCCCCUUUACUUAGAACCAUUUGGCUGCACUAAAUCUUGAUGUUGAAUGUUUGGGUUAGUUCCCCCAUAAACCUCGUCUGCUGGAUUUAUAUAUUUGGCUCCUUUUAUUUUGACUCUGGUGGCUAAAUUUGCAAUGGGCUUUGAAUGAAUGCAAUUCCACUCACACCAGCAGCACAGUGGGUAUUUCUGGUUGUGUAAAUACAGGGAUGUAUAAAUACAGUCUGGGAGGAUGCUGAGGGGACCCACUUGGUGGGGUUUCGGUGAGAUCCGAGACUGCUCAGCACCUCCAGGGAGAAAUUCCAACCCUUCCAACCUCCCCACAGUGUCUGUGGUCCCUUUCUAUAGCCUUUUGUCCCAAUCACAGCACACAGUGCAUUUGCUUAUCACCUUUUUAAUCACAAACUCUGAAAUAUUUAUUUUCCUGUGUUCUAAAAGCACACUUCUAUAUGCAACAAAGAAUUAUGUCAACUAGGAGGAUGAUGGAGAUGUAUUUUUCCCUCUACAGCUCUGUGAAAUUUAGCUUUUUCUCACAUGGGUGUGGGGUUUUUAAAUAAAGCAGUAUUUCAGUAA